rnacentral:rRNA from 1 species
CCGAAAAGCUUCUAAAGAUAUAAUUAUGGUACUCGUACCAAGAACGAACACACGUGGUCGGGGAGAAUAUCCUCAGGCCAGCGAGCAAACUAUAGUUAAGGAACUCGGCAAAUUAGCCUCGUAAGUUCGCGAGAAGGGGUGCCUAGGGCAACCUAGGCCGCAGUGAAGAGACACCGGCAACUGUUUAUCAAAAACACAGCUCUAUGCAAAGGUGCAAGCCGAAGUAUAUGGGGCGACGCCUGCCCAGUGCUCCAAGGUUAAGAGGAGGGGUUAGCCAGUAGUAAGAUGCUGGUGAAGCUCUGAAUUGAAGCCCGAGUGAACGGCGGCCGUAACUAUAACGGUCCAAAGGUAGCGAAACUCCUUGUCAGGUAAGUUCUGACCCGCAUGAAAGGCGUAAUGACUGGUGUACUGUCUCAACUAUAGACUCGGUGAAAUCUUAGUACCGGUGAAGAUGCCGGUUACCCGCAACUAGACGGAAAGACCCCGUGGAGCUUUACUGCAGCUUGAUAUUGGGUUUUUUUCUGGUUUGUGUAGGCUAGGUGGGAGACUUUGAAGCUGACUUCUCAACAGGUCAGUGGAGUCGCAAGGUGAAAGACCACUCUAAUCAGCAGAAGAUUCUAACUUAUUGGUUUACAGCCAAAAGGACAGUGUUUGGUGGGUAGUUUGACUGGGGCGGUCGCCUCCUAAAAGUAACGGAGGUGUUCAUAAGGUAUCCUCAGUAGGUAUAGAAAUCCUAUGUAGAGCGUAAAGGUAUAAGGAUGCUUAACUGUGAGACUUACAAGUCGAACAGAUACGAAAGUAGGACUUAGUGAUCCGGCGGUUACCUAGUGGUAGGGCCGUCGCUAAACGGACAAAAGUUACCCCGGGGAUAACAGGCUAAUACUUCCCAAGAGAUCACAUCGACGGAAGUGUUUGGCACCUCGAUGUCGACUCAUCGCAUCCUGGAGGUGAAGAAGCUUCCAAGGGUUGGGCUGUUCGCCCAUUAAAGCGGUACGUGAGUUGGGUUUAGAACGUCGUGAGACAGUUUGGUCCCUAUCUGUUGUGGGCGCAGGAAAUUUGCGGAGAUCUGCUCUUAGUACGCAAGGACCAGAGUGGACUGACCAAUGGUGUACCAGUUGUCCUGUCAAGGGCACGGCUGGCUAGCUACGUCAGGUCUAGAUAAGCACUGAAAGCAUCUAAGUGCGAAGCUAACUUCAAGAUAAGAUUUCCCAUCCCGUGAGGGAGUAAGAUACCUUCUAGACCAGGAGGUUGAUAGGUGAAAAAUGUAAGUAUAGUAAUAUAUUGAGUUAAUUCAUACUAAUUUAUCGAGGACUUAUUUU